GAUGAACGCUGGCGGCGUGCCUAAUACAUGCAAGUCGAGCGAACGGACGAGAAGCUUGCUUCUCUGAUGUUAGCGGCGGACGGGUGAGUAACUCGUGGAUAACCUACCUAUAAGACUGGGAUAACUUCGGGAAACCGUAGCUAAUACCGGAUAAUAUUUUGAACCGCAUGGUUCAAAAGUGAAAGACGGUCUUGCUGUCACUUAUAGAUGGAUCCGCGCUGCAUUAGCUAGUUGGUAAGGUAACGGCUUACCAAGGCAACGAUGCAUAGCCGACCUGAGAGGGUGAUCGGCCACACUGGAACUGAGACACGGUCCAGACUCCUACGGGAGGCAGCAGUAGGGAAUCUUCCGCAAUGGGCGAAAGCCUGACGGAGCAACGCCGCGUGAGUGAUGAAGGUCUUCGGAUCGUAAAACUCUGUUAUUAGGGAAGAACAUAUGUGCAAGUAACUGUGCACAUCUUGACGGUACCUAAUCAGAAAGCCACGGCUAACUACGUG
rnacentral:rRNA from 1 species